rnacentral:rRNA from 1 species
GGGGGGGCAAGCGUUGUUCGGAAUUACUGGGCGUAAAGGGCGCGCAGGCGGGCGGGAGAGUCUCUCGUGAAAUCCCACGGCUCAACCGUGGAAUUGCGGGAGAUACUACUCGUCUUGAGUUCGGGAGAGGAGUGUGGAAUUCCCAGUGUAGCGGUGAAAUGCGUAGAUAUUGGGAGGAACACCGGUGGCGAAGGCGGCACUCUGGACCGAUACUGACGCUGAGGCGCGAAAGCUAGGGGAGCAAACGGGAUUAGAUACCCCGGUAGUCCUAGCUGUAAACGCUGAGCACUUGGUGUAGCGGGUAUCGACCCCUGCUGUGCCGAAGCUAACGCAUUAAGUGCUCCGCCUGGGGAGUACGGUCGCAAGGCUG